rnacentral:ncRNA from 1 species
GAAUAUGCAAUGAUUAAGAUGAGUAAUUAAGUACUAAUUGUAGAAGAGAAUCACUGGAUGGUGAAAGGUGAUAAUUAGGUUUGAUGAAAGCUGUCUUAGGAGCAAAAGUAUUUCCGGCUAUAACGGAUUUAAACAUGAGUGCACAUGAUAAUGUGAACUAAGGUGGUACCGCGAAUUUUUCGUCCUUAGA